rnacentral:rRNA from 1 species
UACGUAGGGUGCAAGCGUUAAUCGGAAUUACUGGGCGUAAAGCGUGCGCAGGCGGCUAUGCAAGACAGAUGUGAAAGCCCCCGGCUUACCCGGGGAUCUGCAUCCCAAACUGCUUGGCUUGAGUACGGGAGAGGAUAGGGGAAUUCCUGGUGUAGCGGUGAAAUGCGCAGAUAUCAGGAAGAACACCCGUGGCGAAGGCGGCUCUCUGGGACGGUACUGACGCUGAGACGCGAAAGCGUGGGGAGCGAACAGG